rnacentral:lncRNA from 1 species
AACAAAUGCAUCCACCCCCAUCAUCUUAGGACCCACCGAAUUAUAGCACUUCCAAACGAGGUUAAAAACCGGGGAGUUCUGCCGAGCAAUACACAAGCAAACCAACACGUUUUGCUUCAUGUUUGAGCUGAUAGAUAUCUAGCUCCAACACCGGAGAGUCUCUCUAACCAGAAAAAGACUCUGAACCACCUCCAAUUAUGCCGAGACUAACCUCAUCACCUCCUCA